rnacentral:rRNA from 1 species
UACGUAGGGGGCAAGCGUUGUCCGGAAUCAUUGGGCGUAAAGCGCGCGUAGGCGGCCUCGUAAGUCCGUUGUGAAAGUCAAAGGCUCAACCUUUGAAAGCCGAUGGAUACUGUGAGGCUAGAGUCCGGAAGAGGCGAGUGGAAUUCCUGGUGUAGCGGUGGAAUGCGCAGAUAUCAGGAGGAACACCAAUAGCGAAGGCAGCUCGCUGGGACGGUACUGACGCUAAGGCGCGAAAGCGUGGGGAGCGAACAGG